rnacentral:rRNA from 1 species
CCUACGGGAGGCAGCAGUAGGGAAUCUUCGGCAAUGGGGGCAACCCUGACCGAGCAACGCCGCGUGAGUGAAGAAGGUUUUCGGAUCGUAAAGCUCUGUUGUAAGUCAAGAACGGGUGUGAGAGUGGAAAGUUCACACUGUGACGGUAGCUUACCAGAAAGGGACGGCUAACUACGUGCCAGCAGCCGCGGUAAUACGUAGGUCCCGAGCGUUGUCCGGAUUUAUUGGGCGUAAAGCGAGCGCAGGCGGUUUGAUAAGUCUGAAGUUAAAGGCUGUGGCUCAACCAUAGUUCGCUUUGGAAACUGUCAAACUUGAGUGCAGAAGGGGAGAGUGGAAUUCCAUGUGUAGCGGUGAAAUGCGUAGAUAUAUGGAGGAACACCGGUGGCGAAAGCGGCUCUCUGGUCUGUAACUGACGCUGAGGCUCGAAAGCGUGGGGAGCGAACAGGAUUAGAUACCCUGGUAGUCCACGCCGUAAACGAUGAGUGCUAGGUGUUGGAUCCUUUCCGGGAUUCAGUGCCGCAGCUAACGCAUUAAGCACUCCGCCUGGGGAGUACGACCGCAAGGUUGAAACUCAAAGGAAUUGACGGGG